UCGCGGCACUCGACUAUAGCGUUUCUUCUUGUUUUGUAUUCGCUCCUAUUGAAAUGUUUUGUUCUUAUUAUUAUUAAAAAAAAAACAGAUUCUCUAUCAUAGCUGCAUAUUUUUAAAGUUUUACAUUUAAUAUGAAAUGUUGGUUUUUGAACGCAAAAUAAAAAAUGUAGUAAUAUUCCUUUGUGUAGACAGUUUCAUGACAUACUUUAUGUAUUACUUGAGUAAUGGUCGGUGCGUAAACGAAUAAAUUAGAAGAUUUUUCGACUCGUGACCAGACCACAUAGAGAUGCCCGUGAGAAGCAUGGAUUCUCCAAAUUUAGUUUGACUUUUUCACUGGAGCAACACAUCCUGGGGUUUCGUUCUUUAAUUUGAGUGUGCUGCAAUACGUGCAAAUUUUAUACACUUUAUCCAAUGGCGACACUUGUAUGAAGACUGUAGUCAAUGUUACUGUCAUAAUAAAAUGCAGAUCGAACCA